GCGCCUCAGCCCCCAGCCGUCCGCCGGCGGGUGGAGGCCCCUCUGUCCGCCGCGCCGCGCCGCGCCUCCCCUCGGAGGGCAGGCCUCGGUCCCGUCCCAUCAGGGCAGCCUUCACGUGCCCGUGCGUCUCAAGCGCCUCCCCUCCUCCCCUCCUCCCCUCCUGAAGUUACGACGGAAGCUAAGACAGUGAGUUCAGGGCGCGGCUCUGGCGUCUCAGCUUCAACCUCGGGCGACCAAGAGGGGGUUCCUUGUCCUGGGUCGGGGAGCAGCGACAGGGCCGACCCGCGACACUCCUCCGCCGGGGCCGCCUCUCCGGCUGCGGAGGCUGCGCGCUGCGCCCCGGCUCCUGCUCUGGCCGGCGGGCGGCGGCGGCUGCGGCUGCGACUCGCAGGCUCCAGGGCCGCUGCCCCGAAGUCCGCUGCCCGCGACUCCCGUCCUGGCACCUGGGCCCGCGAGGGUCAGGGGCGCUGUGCGCUAGCAGGAGGCAGUGGGUGCCAGGGGGCGGCCCUGAGAAGGCCGCGGAGGAGACAGGAGGGCAAGGGGCGGAGCCGGGGAGCCGGGCUGGCCGCCGCGCGUGGGGAAUCUGAGCGGGCGGCGGCGCCUGGGAGCCGAGGCCCCGCGGAGGCGNNNNCUGCUGAAGCCACUGCGGUCCACCACCAGACUCACCUGCGAGGGGGCGCGGCUGCACCCAGCACGCGGCGCCCCAAGGGACCCCGCUCCGAGCUGCAACCUGAAGCCCCCGCCGCCCCGGGCCGCACGCAUCCCCGCGCCGGUUCUCAGCUGCCACCGCGGGCGUUCCCAGGGCUCCGGCGAGCUCUGUGCCUCCCGGGCCUCCCAGCCCGCCCACCCCACUGCUCCGCAUCGCCGCCACGGCCCGUGAGACUCCUCCUGGCGGUCGGCUCCAUGGAACUUGACUUCUCACCUCCUGCACCUCAUCACCUCCAUUCCCUCUCCCCCGUCUCGCCUCUAAGCCCCCAAUUUCCUCCUCCUCGCGCCUCCUUUCCACCCUCCUCUCCCUCCCCCGGCCACUUCCCUCACUUGGGGCGGGUGGGAUGCGUCUUCCCGCGGAUCCGAGCGCCAGCCUGCGCUUCAGCCCUCCGUGCAGCGGCCUGCAGCCCGGCAAGACGGGCGAGGUGGGCCCGGUGGGGGCUGCGCCGCCGCAGCAGGAGCAACAGCAGCAGGGGCGGUGGCGGUGGCGGCGGCAGCGGCCCGGGUGUCCCGGUUGCCGCCGCCGCAGGACGCCCGCACCACGGUAGGGGUCAUCGCCGACCACCCGGCCCAGCUCGUGCGCACCCACAGCCCAGCCUCCUGUGCUGCGUGCUGCCCUCGCACUGGCGCUGCGACGAGACCCUGCGGGGCCUUCAAGUAAGAAGCUGCGCCCCUCCCGCAGCCGGGCGCCGCGGGACCCGCCCCAGGGUCUCCAAGCCCGCGGGGGGCCGGCGCCGUGACGGCCUCCGAGGCCUCCUAGCUUGGGGGCUCUGA
rnacentral:lncRNA from 1 species